UACGGGAGGCAGCAGUGGGGGAUAUUGCGCAAUGGGGGCAACCCUGACGCAGCAACGCCGCGUGAAGGACGAAGGUCUUCGGAUUGUAAACUUCUUUUGUCAGGGACGAAAAAUGACGGUACCUGACGAAUAAGCUCCGGCUAACUACGUGCCAGCAGCCGCGGUAAU
rnacentral:rRNA from 1 species